UUUUACACCUCUGUAAAAUGUAAUCAUAAAUAAAUAUAGUAUACAGAGUGUCCCGUGAGGAUUUACCCAUUGCGAUAUCUUCUGUAAUAAUGGAUACAUCAUAGAUCUAGUUUUUAUGAUUUACUAAUUUGAUAAUAGUUUCAUAAUAGGUUGAUUCACUCUAAUUUUUAAACUAACGAUGCUAAAUGUGAUCUGCUGAUCGUAAAUUUGCUAUACAAGAUGGAGACAAUAAAAUGCCGGUGUCACGUUUCACGUCAUCUUAAAUCGUGGUCAUGGCGGCAGCGUUCCCGAUCUUUCGGAAUUCGGUAAAAUUUAAAUGCCCGCCAAAUCUACCAAAAGUGUCACCAAUAGAUAACCGUUCUGACUUAUAACUAAGAUAGUAAUAAUUGUUAUCAAAUAAAUAAUAACAUAAUAUCAUUAUUUUAUUGUUCACCGACUUUUGAAUCCUUCGAUUAUUUGAAAUUUGUACAGAAUACAGAAAUACAGACAACAUUCGUACAGAGUUCUUUUCAUACAUUUUAGUAAAAAAUGACCUCGCAUAAGUGUAUUCUUUUUAGUAACACAUCCAAAGUAUCGCCUCGUCACAUUACGUUAAUUUAUUUUCAUCUAUUUAAAACAAUGAAAAUCGAAAGAAAUAAUGGCUAAAAAUCAUCAUAUUAAAUGAUUACUCAAUUUUUAACUAUCAAGACUCAGUAAAUUAGUAGAUAUCAUGGCAAGAGACUGUAGAAAUUCGCUAGACGAAACCGGUGUGAAAAAUAAUGUACCGGGAUGUUUGGACCAUAUCAUUUACAUUGUUCAUUAUCCCGGUGCGGAAUAAAUGAAUAAUGUGGGAUAAUUUUAAACCGGUUUAGUCUAGCGAAUUUCUAUACUGUCUCAAAACAUAAUCCAUACAACUUGUAUGGGAUAGAAAAGUAAAAUAAACAUUAUAAAAUAAAUUUUAAUAAUUUACAGCAACACUGGUCUACUCUGAGCAAGACUAUAAUAUAGUAAAUCAUCUAAGAGAAAAUUAUAUUUCUCCAACGAUGAGUUAGAAGAAAAUAAACAGACAAACAUAGGAUUUGGAGACGUUACAGUUGAUGAUUUUAAUUCACCCAGAAAAGCUUUAGAAACUUAAUAAUGUCUAAUUCACACACACUUAUUUGACAAAACUAAAUUUUUUGGAAUCUGUGACUGCCUAUAGAGCUAAUUUUGAUGCUACAAUGGAACCUUUAUUGAAAGAUAAUCCAAGACAUUUUGUCAUAUUUUCUAUUAUAUAUGACUAUAUUUGGGCUAUGUACAAAAAAAAGAAGCUUCUUUUUGAAAUGAUCUUGAAGAUUGGAUGAGAUUGACUGAUGAAGAGCGUCACUUUGUAUCCUACGUAUUAGCAUUUUUUACUGCUUCAAAUGGUAUAGUCAAUGAAAAUCUUGUCAAAUGAUUUUCUCAAGAAAUUCAAGUAACUGAGGCUAGAUGUUUUUAUGGGUUCAUGUAAUAAUUUAUGUAAAAUUUCACAGCAUCACUGGUACUACUAUCUAAGAGAAAAUUAUAUUUAUCCAACAAUGAGUUUGAAGAAAAUGAAUAGACAAAUAAAGGAUAUGGAGACGUUACAGUCGAUGAUUUUAAUUCACCCAGAAAAACCUGAUAAACUUAACAAUGUCUAAUUUACACACAAUUAUAUUAGUAUAUUACUCAAGUCUCCCAUUUUAAAUGUUUGUCAAAACCAAAAGUUACUUAGUGGUUUAUAUUUUUUAGUUCAUACAGUGGAUUAUACUUAUUAUUGUUUUCAAAACUGAAAUAUAUAAUACAUCACAUACGCGGAAUUAGGAAUUCGAGCCAAUGUAUUGACAAUUUUUCAGAUGUUGACUUUCUCGAAGAUCAUUCUGCCGGCUCAGAUGAAGUCAUACAAUAUUGGAGUGAAUUAUGAAACUUAAAGAGUUUACACAAUAUGUAUCUUGCCUGUGUCUUGUUCUAAACAAUUGGAUAAAAAGCCACCUCUAGUUGUUAUCACACAUAUCAUUUGUGAAAUCGUAACUAUUGUACAAGAUUUUUGACAAACGCUUUACCUGUCAGAAUGGUUGACAUGAGCUGUGAAUAAAUACACAGUGUGUUCACGCUAAGAGGUACCACCAAGGUGGAUAUAUAUAUAUAUAUAUAUAUAUAUCCACCUUGGGUAUCACUAAAUAUUUCAGUUCGAUGACCUUAUAUUAAAAUGUGGUUUUCACUGAAUGACAGAUAGUACUUAGAUACACAAUUUCAGAUAAAUUUCAAAUUUUAACUCUUUCAAUACGCGCCUGCACGAUAUAACUUACUUUUUUUUAAAUAAUAACAUAAAUUUUUUUACAUAUUCGUACAGAGUAUGUUUUUCUAAACAAUUUAUGUAUAAAAAGUUUUUUACUAAUUACAAAAUUAGCAUAUGAAAUUUAAUAAUUACGAGUAAUUUUUUUGACGAAAUCUAAACUAAAUUCAACUUAUUGUUACUUAUUAAUAUCCAAUAUUGUUAAAUACCUGUUUGCACACAGAUAAGGUAGUAAAAAUAACUUUGGCAACAUUUUCCAGUAUUUAAGAUAUUCAGUGGCGUACACAGGGGUAGGUUUCUAGGGUUCUGACCAUCCCUGAAAUUUCUUUUAUUUUCUACAAAUAAAUCUGAUUUACCACCAUUUUGAUGCACAGAUCAAUUGUUAGUCAUUUUUAAUAGAUAUAAAAUAAAUUGUUGAAUAUGACAAAGACGUCGAUAAUCAUGGUUUCAGUUUUUUUUUUGGCUGAUUUAGAACAUUGCUAAACGUCUGCCAUAAUCUAUAGUGUAUCGUCGUCCUUCGAUUAUAACCACAUUUCUUAUGACCCGAGGUGGCUCUAUAAAUUACCAAACUACAAUUUUUUGUAUAAAAACUGUUUAGAAAAAAAUAAUAUUUAUGUUUUUACUUGGGUAAAACGCUAACCGAACCAAAAUCCUGCGGACGCUACUGAAGAUAGUAUAAUUCCCGUUUGUUAUACAUUUAUUACUUGUAAUAUUAAAUUUCAUAUGCCAAUUUUGUAAUUAGAAAAAAACUUUUUAUACAUAAAUUGUUAAGAAAAAAAUACUAUAUCCGAAUAUUUAUCUGAAAAUGUGUGGUAUUUAAGUAUUAUCUGUCAUUCAGUGAAAACCCUAUUUCAACACAAGUUCAUCAAACUGAAAUAUUUAGUAAUACCUCUAAGCGUGAGCACACUGUAUACGAAGAUGUUGCUGAUAGGCUGUUAAAAGAAUCAGGGUGUCCCACAUACAUACAUACAUAAAUACAUACAUACAUACACAUAAACACAGUUUACUCUGUCGUCAAACCUGUUGCCAUUCAUGGAAUUUACUUCUCACAAGGAAAGACAAACUUCUUUGAAAGAAGACUAAGUUAACACCAAUUACCUUCAGUUGUACUCUGAAUCAUGUUUGUGAAUAAAAUUAUUUGUCCAAGACUUAUUUAUAAUUAUAAGAAAAUUUUAUUUUUAAAUUUUAUAAUUAAAGAGAAAAGUAUUAAAAAUUUUUAUUAAUUAUACUAUUAUAGUUUUCAUAUUUGUCGUAUUUAUAGUUAGAUUGUAAUUUAAAAUGUAUAAAUAUAUGACUAAUGUGUUGUAAUUUAUUGUUAUACUUACUUGCAGCUGUUAUUUGUUCAUGUUAAAUAAGAAACUCUUACUAAGUAAGAAGAAAUAAAUUAUAGUAUAAUAUAAGAUGUAACUGUAGGCAUAUAAAACAGUUAAAAAAUUUUGUUUUUUAUGUCUAUGAAUUAACGAAAUUAAUAAUAAUAUCAUUAAUGACCAAAAUAAAUGUAUU